rnacentral:tRNA from 1 species
UGACCUAUGGUGUAACGGUAGCACAACAGAUUUUGGUUCUGUUUGUCGGGGUUCGAAUCCCUGUAGGUCAA